rnacentral:rRNA from 1 species
CAGCCGCCGCGGGAAUACAGAGGAUGCAAGCGUUAUCCGGAAUGAUUGGGCGUAAAGCGUCUGUAGGUGGCUUUUCAAGUCCGCCGUCAAGUCCCAGGGCUCAACCCUGGACAGGCGAUGGAAACUACCAAGCUGGAUUACGGUAGGGGCAGAGGGAAUGUCCGGUGGAGCGGUGAAAUGCGUUGAGAUCGGAAAGAGCACCAACGACAAAAGCAUUCUGUUGGGCCGAAACUGACACUGAGAGACGAAAGCUAGGGGAGCAAAUGGGAUUAGAUACCCCCGUAGUCCCUGUCUCUUAUAC